rnacentral:lncRNA from 1 species
UUACCGUUAAUCGUGCAGGAAUGUGGGGUGGAACAUAAUGUACCCGUAGGGCUGGCGUAAAGGGCAAUCGUCGGGAUCGCCAUGAAGGAAUGAAAAAAGAAAGAUCAAAUUCUGAUCAAUACCAGGAAGAAGCAAGACCCUGAUCAACCCUGAUCAAAAUCAAAACCCCCAGAGAUGUUUGAGAAGGAGAAAACACACCGCCAA